AUUGAACGCUGGCGGCAUGCCUAACACAUGCAAGUCGAACGCAAAAGUUCCUUCGGGAAUGAGUAAAGUGGCGGACGGGUGAGUAACGCGUAGGAAUCUACCUUACAGUGGGGGAUAACCCGGGGAAACUCGGGCUAAUACCGCAUACUGUCUAAGGAGCAAAGCGGGGGAUCUUCGGACCUCGUGCUGUAAGAUGAGCCUGCGUCGGAUUAGCUAGUUGGUAGGGUAAAGGCCUACCAAGGCGAUGAUCCGUAGCUGGUCUGAGAGGAUGAUCAGCCACACUGGGACUGAGACACGGCCCAGACUCCUACGGGAGGCAGCAGUGGGGAAUAUUGGACAAUGGGCGAAAGCCUGAUCCAGCAAUGCCGCGUGUGUGAAGAAGGCCUUCGGGUUGUAAAGCACUUUCAGCGGGGAGGAAGGCUCAAGGUUAAUAUCCUUGGGAGGUGACGUUACCCGCAGAAGAAGCACUGGCUAACUCUGUGCCAGCCGCCGCCGUAA
rnacentral:rRNA from 1 species